ensembl:lncRNA
UAGUCUUUUGUUCUUUGCUCACUGCCUGAGCAUGUGACCGAGGGAGCUGGAGAGCAGGUCUGAUCUCGUGUGCUAUCACAGUUUGCAUCUUGGGCAGGUCAAGGUUCCCUUCAUUCCCCAGAGGAAGAAGAGGGAGGUGGAGGCACAGGGCAUGGUCAUGGGCCCCUGGAUGUACUUCCCCUCAUCCCAGACCCUUUAUGGAAACUCACAAACAGGGUCAGGGUACACCUGUUUCCUAUGAUGCUGGACUGCUCUUUGUAUGAUAUGCAAAGAAGGAAAUAGGGAUGGGUAAUGCAAAUAGGAAAGAUAGAUGUCUGAAGACUUGCAGAAAAAAAUACACAUGGCUUCUUGGCUUAGGAUGAGUAACAAUAAACCAGUAAGACAGGAGAGAGAAAUGCCUUCCCCAGGCAUCUUUCCACACAACUACUCCAUAGUGGGGACUCAGAUGGUAACGAAUCUGCCUGCAGUGCAGGAGACCCAGGGAUCGACCCUUGUCUCUUACAUCUCCUGCACGGGUAGGCUGGCUCUUUACCACUAGUGCCACUUGGGAAGAUUACUCCCCUCGUAGGCCACUCAAACCUAUUCAGCCUCCAGCGUGGAGAAGGGAGCACAGUGAUCACUGAGCAACUUGGAUCCCCCAGGGACCCAGGCUGAACAGGAUGAUUUCCCAGGAAGCAUGGCUCUUCCAGCUGACCUGUCCUCAUGCCAAAUGCAGGCGAGCCAGGGAAGGGAGGAAACCAUCCUGCCUUUCUUUUCUUGUUCGCAAACUAUUAAUACUGUGAAUAGUGACAUGUUGGAAACUGAAAGUGCUUAGUCCAGUUUCCAUGUGGGUCUGUCAGCCCAGAUAACGAUGUGAGAAUGCUCAGGGCAGCCCAGACAGUUUUGAUUCUGAGCUGAUAAAGGAGAGUUUUGGUUUGUUUAUCUAGUUUAUGCAAGGAUCACGUGGAAGUUUUAGAGCUGAAAAAAUGCUUAGUAUUAAUUUAAAAUAUGUUAGUGUUGAUUUCUUCACUGAAAUGUCUGCAUCAUUUAAGCAGGAGAGAAUAGUACCUUUAUUGAUAUGGAAAUCAUCUUUGACAUAAAAAGUGACUCAGCAAAUGGAUUUUCUGCAUCUCUCAAUGAAAAACAAACCAAAGAAUUCAAAAGAGUAAGAGGAUUUGCACCCUACCUUUUCCCCCCUCUGUAUUAGCUUCCCCUUUGUAUUGUAUUGCUGUUGUAACAAAUAAUCACAAACUUAGUGGCUUAAAAUAACACAAGUGUAUUCCCUUAUGGUUCUGGAAGCCAAAAGUCUGCAACCAGUUUCAUUAAGCUGAAGUCAAGGUGUCAACGGGGCUGUUUUCUGCGGAGAGGGGAGUUUGGCUUCCAUCACGUUUCUGCCUGGGCUGUGUUCCCUGCAUUCUUUGGCUUCCAGCCAUCUUCACAACCAGCAAAGAAGCAUCCUCAGAUCUGCUUCUCUGAUGAUUUCCUCUGCGUCCUUCUUGGAAGGGUCUUAUGAGCACAUCAAGCCCACCCAGGGUAAUCUGAGACAGUCCCCCACACCAAGGCCUUUAAUUUACUCACGUCUGCAGUGUCAUUUGCCGUGAAGAUAGCACAUUUGCGGGAUCAGGAGAUGAGAAUGAGGACAUCUUUGAGAGCUGUUAUUCAUGAUUCAUCCUAGUACACCCUUUUUACUAAAUUAACAGUAUAAAUCAAGGGAGAAAUGAUGAAUCAAGGGGCUAUUUAUUUUAGAUUAGUGAAAAAUUACUGGAAACAUGUAACACAUCAGAUGCUCCUUGUUGAGCUCCAAAAAUUUUUCUUUAAAAAAUUUUGUUGCCUCAAGCCUGGGGCUGGUGCAGUGGGAUGACCCAGAGAGAUGAUAUGGGGAGGGUGGUGGGAGGGGUGUUCAGGGUUGGGAACUCAUGUACACCUGUGGUGGAUUCAUGUCAAUGUAUGGCAAAACCAAUACAGUAUUGUAAAGUAAAAAAAUUAAAAAAAAAAAAACAGUUAAAAACAUUUUUUGAAGUAUUGAUAACAAUGUAUAAUAAAAUAUACAUACCUUCAGUAUCUUUGCCUAUGUGUGUGUAUUUGUAAAACCAUACCCAGAUCAGUAUAUCAAACAAGUCUAGCACCUCUGAAGUCUCCCUCACACCUUUGCCAGUCAGUAACGUCCCCCCGGCCUUAGUAACCUCUGUUCUGAGGGCAGCCACUACAGAUUUG